CUGGCCUUGACAUGCUUAGUUCAAGCGUGGAAACACGCUGGCCCGCAAGGGCGAUUUGCACAGGUGCUGCAUGGCUGUCGUCAGCUCGUGUCGUGAGAUGUUGGGUUAAGUCCCGCAACGAGCGCAACCCUCGUGGUUAGUUAUUCCCGGGCAACCGGAAUCUGACCAGACUGCCCUGUGAAACGGGGAGGAAGGUGGGGACGACGUCAAGUCCGUAUGGCCCUUACGGCCAGGGCUGCACACGUACUACAAUGCCCAAUACAGAGGGACGCAAGACCGCAAGGUGGAGCUAAUCCCGUAAAGUUGGGCCCAGUUCGGAUUGGAGGCUGCAACUCGCCUCCAUGAAGUUGGAAUCGCUAGUAAUGG
rnacentral:rRNA from 1 species